GAUGAACGCUGGCGGCGUGCCUAAUACAUGCAAGUCGAGCGAACGGACGAGAAGCUUGCUUCUCUGAUGUUAGCGGCGGACGGGUGAGUAACACGUGGAUAACCUACCUAUAAGACUGGGAUAACUUCGGGAAACCGGAGCUAAUACCGGAUAAUAUUUUGAACCGCAUGGUUCAAAAGUGAAAGACGGUAUUGCUGUCACUUAUAGAUGGAUCCGCGCUGUCUUAGCUAGUUGGUAAGGUAACGGCUUACCAAGCCAACGGUGCAUAGCCGACCUGAGAGGGUGGUCGGCCACACUGGGACUGAGACACCGCCCCGACUCCUACGGGGGGCAGCAGUAAGGGAUCUUUCCGAAUGGGCGGAAGUCUGACCGGGCAACGCCGCGUGGGGGAAUGAGGUUUUCGGAUCGUAAAGCUUUGGUGUUAGGGGAGAACCAUAGUUGGAGUGGACAGUGCACACCGUGACGGUAUCUUAUCAGAAAGCCACGGCUAACUACGUG
rnacentral:rRNA from 1 species